CAACCUCAGAUCAAGUAGGAUUACCCGCUGAACUUAAGCAUAUCAAUAAGCGGAGGAAAAGAAACCAACAGGGAUUGCCUU
rnacentral:rRNA from 1 species